rnacentral:rRNA from 1 species
UACGGAGGAUCCGAGCGUUAUCCGGAUUUAUUGGGUUUAAAGGGUGCGUAGGUGGUUUGAUAAGUCAGCGGUGAAAGUUUGCAGCUUAACUGUAAAAAUGCCGUUGAAACUGUCGGACUUGAGUGUAAAUGAGGUAGGCGGAAUGCGUGGUGUAGCGGUGAAAUGCAUAGAUAUCACGCAGAACUCCGAUUGCGAAGGCAGCUUACUAAGCUACAACUGACACCGAAGCACGAAAGCGUGGGGAUCAAACAGG